UCCACCUUCAAUACCUACUCCAACACCUGCUACCCUUCCACCAACUACCUUUCCUGUAACACCUACUAGUUUUCCUAUAGUAUCCUCUCCAACACACACUACCUUUUUUUCCAAACCUACUACCCUCCCCCCCCAGCAUUUACCUUCUCCACAUCCGUUCAAACAUCCACCCACAACAUUUCUACAGGUCCCUUUGAGAGACACAGCCGAGUUAAGGAUGGUGACGAUGCUACUGAUCUUGUUGACGUUGAAGAUGUUGACGCUCGCCAUGGUGACAACAACCUCGUCCACGUGGUUACUGCGCUGCUGUCACUGGUGGUUCUGUUCAUACUUAUCGUCGCAGGUGUGGUGUCGAGACGACAUAUCCUGAGAUACAUUAACCAGAUCCGUUCUUAUCUACGUAUCCGCCGCCUCAGACGUUAUCUGAACAGACCUCACACUUCACCACCAAGUUCACCAUCACGUCGAGUCCCUGCCCGCUCUCAGGAGCAAACACGUCAUUGCUCUCCAUCCAGUCAGUCCUCUCAGACGUACCAGAUGCAAGUAGAUGGACGUCGAGUUCCUGUCCACUCUCGAUCACGUCAUGGCUCUCCAUCCAGUCAGACUUCCCA